rnacentral:rRNA from 1 species
UACGUAGGGGCCGAGCGUUGUCCGGAGUUAUUGGGCGUAAAGCGCGCGCAGGCGGCCUCGCGCGCCCGACGUGAAAGCCCCCGGCUUAACCGGGGAGGGUCGUUGGGGACGGCGGGGCUUGAGGGCGGGAGAGGUCGGUGGAAUUCCCGGUGUAGUGGUGAAAUGCGUAGAGAUCGGGAGGAACACCUGCGGCGAAGGCGGCCGACUGGGCCGACCCUGACGCUGAGGCGCGAAGGCGUGGGGAGCGAACGGG